GCCCAGUUCACGGACUUGAGCUUCCAGUUUCAGGAUCUGGGCAUCUCUUAAUUCCAACUCGCGCUCAAAGUGACUCCUCUCUUCUGGAACUUCGGGAACUAGCAACGUCGAUACUUGUGCUUGACCAAUAUUAAUUAAAUUCUUUGCCAAUCUUGUCACUUUGGCAUUCAAGGCCUCAAUUUCAGCCCUUAACCGCUCCGUUUCAAAUCUGUAUUGGUUAUUCAAUACCAAUUUCUUUUGCGUCAAUAACUCGACCUUUUCUCGUUCCAUUACCAACUGACCCUUCGCUUUUUCUAAUUCCAAAAUUAAAUUACUGCGAGUCCAGAAUAGUUCUUGUAUGUGGGUCUCCACCAUGCGUUCUCUUUCUUGUG
rnacentral:lncRNA from 1 species